UGGGGCGUAGCCAAGCGGUAAGGCAGUGGGUUUUGGUCCCAUGAUCCCAGGUUCGAAUCCUGGCGCCCCAGCCA
rnacentral:tRNA from 1 species